rnacentral:rRNA from 1 species
AUGGUCAUGGCGCAGUUCAGCGUCAGCUUGCUCGACCAGGACGGGGAGCCGGUGCCGUCGUACAGCAGAAACCGCUCCAAGAUCAAACCCUACGCUUCCAAAGACCAGUACGGCCUUCCCCGGUUGAUCGCCGGACAUGAAUUGAAGAGAUACCUAAGAGAUGAUCGUUUCAGGCUUAAGUACGAUGUUGUCGUCCACAGGAUCUGUGCAAAGCCCGCCGACGCCCCCCGGCCUGUCGUCGUCCCGCCGUCCGACCUGCAGCGGCAGCUCCUCGCCCUCCUGAGGAGCGAACGGGGAGGGGACGUGACGUUCGAUGUCAGCAGCGAGCUCUUAGCUCUUCGGCCCAAUGUCGGAGAAAGCUGCGGGCAAGGUGCAGGUCGACGACAUGGAGCCGAGAGUCUUCGAGGCCAUGCUCGAGUUCAUCUACACAGAUUCACUGCCCAAAAUUGA